AUGCCCUGCUUUGCAGCUUCCAAGUCCAUGAAUCAUAUCGCACACCACCAGAACUCGAAGCCUGCAAGCAACGGGCAGGGCAUCGCUCGAUCUCGUCGGUCGACCAGGCAAGGCCUUGCUCACCCGACAAUAGCAAUGGCGGGGUCGAAGCCAAGCGCCAACCACUCCGUGUUCCUCGACGGCAAUGGUCCCGGCGACAAACUCAUGGCCGGCUUCAACAGCUACAACGCCAGAGAAGCAGUGCCGGCGGCCAGCAGUCACAAGAAGAAGGCGGCGCCGGCUGCCAAUCUUGCCAAGGAUCUGUUCGGCAGCGCCUACCCUUCUGCAAUGUCAGGCUACAGCGUCCUCUGCUUUCCCCUGUUCCAGCGUGCCUGA
rnacentral:rRNA from 1 species